UGCUUUUUCCAUCACUAAAUAUGAUUAACAAUAACAGCGUAGAUAUGGACUACAUUCGUUCUAUAUGGGAAUGCUUAGCAUCCAUUUGUAAUUGUUGGCAUUGUACAGAUGACCUUGGCAGUCAAGGCAUUGAACCCAGCGAAAGGACGCAUCUUCUUGCGGAUUCUGUUAAUCAAAGUCCAGCUUUGCGGCGAAGUAACUCAGCUGAUUUAAGCAAUGAUUAUUCUCAAUCACUACCAAAGAAGGAUGACCAAAAUGCGUUAUCAAGAUUGGUGCAAAAUACUGCAAUCAACAUGAUCAAUGUGGGAGCCCUGGAUUCUCACACCUUGGAACAUCAAGAGUAUUCAGAUAGGAUUAAAUUAUAUUCACAGCGUCUUCAACAGCAAUGGAACAACAUUCAACACCCUGGCUUUGUACAAAAAGGCCUAUUAAAGGACGUACCCAACCAUCAAUCUUAUAUAUCAAAAGGUAUUCAUUUAGAUGAUACUGCUCAGGUGGCAUCCUGAUCCCUGCGUAGAGCUGCUUUUCUCAUUAUUUACAUACCCACGCACGAUAUGCCACUUCUUUCGAGUGUGUUUAGCAGGAAAGUGUCCUGCACAAACUCAAACACUCUGACACACCAUACAUAUUGAUGGACACUUCUCCACAAGUACACAAAUCGGAUAAGAUGCGAAUAUUUAUACAAAAAUCCGUCGCCGCUGUAUUAAGUAUACAAGUUGAUCAUAGAGAAGCGGUUGUAGUUCCGUUUGAAAUCCCUUAAAAAUAAAUAAUAACCCUUUGUGUGGUGUUAAUAUGUAUUCUUAUGUUAAACAUAUAAUAAUAACUAGAUUCAACUUAUAAUGUUGUC